GACGAACGCUGGCGGCGUGCCUAAUACAUGCAAGUUGAGCGCUGAAGGUUGGUACUUGUACCAACUGGAUGAGCAGCGAACGGGUGAGUAACGCGUGGGGAAUCUGCCUUUGAGCGGGGGACAACAUUUGGAAACGAAUGCUAAUACCGCAUAAAAACUUUAAACACAAGUUUUAAGUUUGAAAGAUGCAAUUGCAUCACUCAAAGAUGAUCCCGCGUUGUAUUAGCUAGUUGGUGAGGUAAAGGCUCACCAAGGCGAUGAUACAUAGCCGACCUGAGAGGGUGAUCGGCCACAAUGGGACUGAGACACGGCCCAAACUCCUACGGGAGGCAGCAGUAGGGAAUCUUCGGAAAUGGACGAAAGUCUGACCGAGCAACGCCGCGUGAGUGAAGAAGGUUUUCGGAUCGUAAAACUCUGUUGGUAGAGAAGAACGUUGGUGAGAGUGGAAAGCUCAUCAAGUGACGGUAACUACCCAGAAAGGGACGGCUAACUACGUG
rnacentral:rRNA from 1 species